AACGAACGCUGGCGGCAGGCUUAACACAUGCAAGUCGAGCGAGACCUUCGGGUCUAGCGGCGGACGGGUGAGUAACGCGUGGGAACGUGCCCUUCUCUACGGAAUAGCCCCGGGAAACUGGGAGUAAUACCGUAUACGCCCUUCGGGGGAAAGAUUUUUCGGAGAAGGAUCGGCCCGCGUUGGAUUAGGUAGUUGGUGGGGUAAUGGCCCACCACGCCGACGAUCCAUAGCUGGUUUGAGAGGAUGAUCAGCCACACUGGGACUGGGACACGGCCCAGACUCCUACGGGAGGCAGCAGUGGGGAAUCUUAGACAAUGGGGGCAACCCUGAUCUAGCCAUGCCGCGUGAGUGAUGAAGGCCUUAGGGUUGUAAAGCUCUUUCAGCUGGGAAGAUAUUGACGGUACCAGCAGAAGAAGCCCCGGCUAACUCCGUG
rnacentral:rRNA from 1 species